AUUUAUAUAGUUUAUUUAAAACAUUAUAUUUUCAAUAUAAAAUUAUUAAUUUUUAUUUAUAAAUA
rnacentral:tRNA from 1 species